rnacentral:rRNA from 1 species
GACGAACGCUGGCGGCGUGCUUAACACAUGCAAGUCGAGCGGUAAGGCCCUUUCGGGGGUACACGAGCGGCGAACGGGUGAGUAACACGUGGGUGACCUGCCCUCAGCUCUGGGAUAAGCCUGGGAAACCGGGUCUAAUACUGGAUAUGACUCCAUGACGCAUGUUGUGGGGUGGAAAGCCUUGUGCGGCUGAGGACGGGCCCGCGGCCUAUCAGCUUGUUGGUGGGGUGANGGCCUACCAAGGCGACGACGGGUAGCCGGCCUGAGAGGGCGACCGGCCACACUGGGACUGAGACACGGCCCAGACUCCUACGGGAGGCAGCAGUGGGGAAUCUUGCGCAAUGGGCGAAAGCCUGACGCAGCGACGCCGCGUGAGGGAUGACGGCCU